rnacentral:rRNA from 1 species
GUAGCAGAAGCUUGCUUCUCUUGAGAGCGGNGGGCGGGUGAGUAAAGCCUAGGAAUCUGCCUGGUAGUGGGGGAUAACGUUCGGAAACGGACGCUAAUACCGCAUACGUCCUACGGGAGAAAGCAGGGGACCUUCGGGCCUUGCGCUAUCAGAUGAGCCUAGGUCGGAUUAGCUAGUUGGUGAGGUAAUGGCUCACCAAGGCGACGAUCCGUAACUGGUCUGAGAGGAUGAUCAGUCACACUGGAACUGAGACACGGUCCAGACUCCUACGGGAGGCANCAGUGGGGAAUAUUGGACAAUGGGCGAAAGCCUGAUCCAGCCAUGCCGCGUGUGUGAAG